UUGCGUGACCAUAGCGAGGGGGUCACACCCGUUCUCAUUCCGAACACGGCCGUUAAGCCCCUCAGCGCCGGAAGUACUUGGUGGGAGACUGCCCGGGAGAUAGGGACGUUGCGCGGA
rnacentral:rRNA from 3 species